rfam:Thermincola sp. JR, complete genome.
UAGUGGAGGGCGGAUAGACAGUGUUUACGACAGUGAGGGCUUGAAAUUGCCGUUUCCGACACGGACGUCGGAAACCCGGCCAUUGAGUCACGGAUGACGAUUUGGCCGGGUUCGGCAAUUUCAACCGAACGGAGUUUACACUGUCUCUGCCCGUAACUU